GUCAUCUGUCUGUACUAGAGAGCUCCUCUGUCUGUACUAGAGAGGUCAUCUGUCUGUACUAGAGAGCUCAUCUGUCUUGACUAGAGAGGUCAUCUGUCUGUACUAGAGAGGUCAUCUGUCUGUACUAGAGAGGUCAUCUGUCUGUACUAGAGAGCUCAUCUGUCUGUACUAGAGAGGUUUUCUGUAUUUCCUUCAUGUGGUGAUAACGAACAUUUUGAAUACAAAAUAAACAGAAAAAUUAAGAAACAAAUCUGCAAAUACAGUUUAAGAUGAAAAUGAUAGCUCACGUUUUUUGUCGGAAAUAGACAGGUUUUUCAUUUGACAGUACCGACAGCUUUUGUUUACCCCUACACAUGACUGUAUAGACAGGUUUUACUGAUGUGUAAUCAAUAAACAGGCAUCUGUAACAGACAACCUCUGAACUUUUUACACUGUGAAAAACUCGUCUAAAUGGACACAUUGUAAAAAACAUAGUCUAUAGUGGACAUUUUUUAGUAUGAAUUUGUGAUGGAUUUAACCUUUGACCUUUAAAUCUGUCUGUAUUGGACACUUGUGAGUAUAAACUUGUAUGUGAUUAAUCUAACCUUUGACCUUAAAACUUGUCUAUAAUGGAACAUUGUGAGUAUAAACCUGUGAAAUGAACCUAGCCUGUGAUAGUUAAAGAUGUCUGUAUGGACACUUGUGAGUAUAAACUGUAGACAUUGGACUCAGAUUGUGAGAGUAAAACCUGUCUAUAUUUGACACUUGUGAGUAUAAAUUGUAGACAUUGGACUGAUUGUGAGAGUAAAACCUGUCUGUAUGGACACUUGUGAGUAAACUGUAGACGUUGGACUGAUUGUGAGAGUAAAACCUGUCUAUAUGGACACUUGUGAGUAAACCGUAGACAUUGGACUGAUUGUGAGAGUAAAACCUGUCUAUAUGGACACUUGUGAGUAAACCGUAGACAUUGGACUGAUUGUGAGAGUAAAACCUGUCUAUAUGGACACUUGUGAGUAAACUGUAGACAUUAGACUCAGAUUGUGAGAGUCAAACCUGUCUAUAUUUGACACUCAUGAGUAUAAACUGUAGACAUUGGACUGAUUGUGAGAGUAAAACCUGUGUAUAUGGACACUUGUGAGUAAACUGUAGACAUUGGGCUGAAUGUGGUAGUAAAACCUGUCUAUAUGGACACUUGUGAGUAAACUGUAGACAUUGGACUGAUUGUGAGAAUAAAACCUGUCUACAUUUGACACUUGUGAGUAUAAACUGUAGACAUUGGACUCAGAUUGUGAGAGUAAAACCUGUCUAUAUGGACACUUGUGAGUAAACUGUAGACAUUGAACUCAGAUUGCUAAAGUGCAAGCUGUCUAUAGUGUACACUCUGGUAUACACCUGUGUAUGAUGAACUAACAAUUGAGAGUAAAAUAUAUCUACCUUGUCAUGAAACAUCAACUAUCAGCAGAUUGCUGUAAAAACUGUACACUGUAUUUUAAAACUAGACAGAUUGAUAUAAAUGUACCAGGAAAUUUCUAGCAGUUAUCCGACUCAUUGUCUGAUGUCACACCUGGAAAUCAUGUGUAUUCAUUACUGGUUAAUCCCUAUUACUGUGUAGGGUACAGCUUUUUUAAUAAUUUUAAAAUUGAUAUAUAAGCCUUUACCAAGCACAAUAUGUGGUUGUCUGUUCAUUAUUUAUAAUGAACAUUUGUCUCCCCACAACUUGAUUGUUCACAAAUUAUCCCACUACGAUACAAUAGUCAGUUCAGGCAGGUUCUCCUGUUCACUGGUGAAGUCAAUAAAAACAAGUGCCUUAUGUUUCUGUUUUAUUAUGCUACAAGUAUUACAGAGUGAUUGGGUAUUGAUCACUGUGUUAUAAGUACCGAUCUUUAUUUGUUGAUAAGAUACAAGACAUUGUUGUUUGAUCAUGUGUUUAAUUUGUCUGUGUUUAUGUAAAGGUUGUCAUGUGUGAUUUUAUAUUUAUCAUUAGGGAGUUACUACUUCCAGUAAUGCCUAUAAAAGCCAGUACUGUUGUAAGAAACGUGUUCCAACUAUUUUUGAUAUAUAAAUGAAAUAGCUAUCAAUUUUGCAUGUGGUAUUUCUGCCAAAAAAUAGGACCCUGCAAAAUAACCAAUAAUUGAAAGUUUGAUUAUCUGCAUUUGCCAAAAAGUUGUUCAUAAUAAGGAAAACUUGCAAAAUUCAAGAUUUACAAAAUAUGCCAUAAAUGGUUGUGAAUUGAACGAGGUGAGCUGUGCUGAUUACAUUUUAUAUAGGAUUGAUUUGAUUCCAUUAUUGCUUUGUAACUGCCAAAAAGGCUGACAUACUUGUACUGAAGUAUCAAACAGAGAUAUUUUCCAGUUUCUGCUGAAAAUGAAUAGGGUAAUUUUUAGGCAUGAUGGAAUAUUUUGUUCUGAAGAUGACAGGAAAACUCUCUAUUGACCUUUUUCUGAGAUCUGACAUGUUAUAUUCUUAGUGUGUUACUACACAUUUUAAACAUGUAUUCAAACCCCAUGAGUUAUAACCUGUGUGUUCAAAUCUAGACAACAUUUAUUUGAGCUUUAUUUUAAACCCCUGUAUAAUUUGUCCAGUGCUUACCUGUGUAGUCCGACACCUUGUAUGUAAACUAUAAACUUGUCCCAUGGGUGUCGGGAGUAGUUUCUGCUCUAUCUGUAUGUGUGUUGAGAAAAUGUGUCUAUAUGGUGUCCCGACACACUAGUAGGUAUCAAUAGGUUUUACAUUAAUAUUGAAGAGUUGGACCAACAUGGAAGGUUACCAUCUCUCUGAUGCAAUUGACUUUAUACGUUGUUACCCAUGUCAAUAAACAGAUAUUUAUUGCAGUA